rnacentral:lncRNA from 12 species
GUUCAGACUGUUGCUACUGGCCAGAAUAUAAGUCUGUAAUCCAUAAUAACGCUUCUUAGGAAAAGUCUAUCUUCUGUUGUCCUCUCACAUCAAAAUCCACCAUUAAUCAUAUUUAUUUAGAACUGUUUUUGGAUGUAAACAAUGCUUGAUCUGUGUAUAUUUUGCUCCUUAUUCAACCGAGACGCAUUUGUCACUGGAGAAAGCAAUAUUAUGGAAGUUAAAAAUGCCUUGAUGGAUUUAUUUCUUACAAACAUGCGGCUUUUCACUUCAUUUCAACUUAAUUGAUGGACUGAUUUUUUUGUGAUGUUUUUUAUCAGAUGUUUGGACUCUCAUUCUGACGGCACCCAUUCACUGCAGAGGAUCCAUUGGUGAGCAAGUGAAGUAAUGCUAAAUUUCUCCAAAUCUGUUUGGGUGAAGAAACAAACUUAGCUACAUCUUGGAUGGCCUGAGGGUGAGUAGAUUUUCAGCAAAUUUUCAGUUUGGGUGAACUAUUCCUUUAAAAAAAGUUUCACACAAAGACAUGAACAAUAACUUUGAAAAAUGUCUUUAAAAUGAUGUACAUUCAGACAACAAUAAUGUCUUUAGCUACAUUAGUAUAUGAACAAAUGUCUAAUAUAUCGAACACACAGAGCUCCCAGCAUGUACUGCAUUCAAAAGUUGUGUGAUAGGAUUACUGUUUUACUGCCUGGGGUUUUGGUUUUAUGAUGCUCUUAUUUUUGUCAUCCCUGCUAGUUUCUUGUUGUGCUGUGAUGUUCAGAAUCAGAAUCAGACUCAGAAUGAGUUUUAUUGCCAGAAGCCGCUCAGACAGGGGUUGGAGCUGCACUCAUCUAUGUUGAUCUCACAGCGGGGCCCCGAGAAAGCCUGGCGACAUCGUCACCAGAAACCCAGAGGGAAGAGGACGGGAUCAGCCUCCUCCAUGCACUUUGCCCCAUUAUCACACGGAUUAACGGCCUCACAAGGCAGCAACUCACAGUUAAUCCCUGAAAUUUCAAAUACAUGACGAGAAAUUCCAUCUGCAACAAAAACAAUAACAGAAAAUGUUUGACUGUUCGUUUACU